AAUUAUAUCUUUUAUGUUCAUAGUUUAUUAAAAAGAAUGAGAUUUUUCAUCGAAAGAAGAUCGAAGAUUCUGUCAAAAGCUGAGUAUAGAAAACUUAAAGAAUAGAGAGAUGCGCGGUUUAUUACGAAACGACAUCACGAAAGAGUCUCUAGUUCAUUGUGGUUUCACGAACAAUUUUUGCAUUUGUCCCAGGCUUCCAAACCUUGGGAAUAAACUGCAUCACAUAAUUUCUGCAUAAUACACUGACAAUCAGGCUGUCAUCAUGUUUGUCAAAUUACAAUGAACUGUCAUUGUGCUUGUUGAAAAUCACCUUGACAUUAUGCAAUAACCAUGAAUUUUGAUGGUUUGGAAUUUUAUUAGUAUUUUGAUAUCUAGUAUCAUGAAAUUAUCAUAUAACUUUUAAUUAUAUCGAUAAGUUUCCUACUCUGCAUUGUUAUUUACAGAAGCUUCCGGGUGCAGUCCUUGUCCUUUUGGUAUCGAUUGUAUAUCCAGGUCGUGAAAGCCUCGAAGAUUUCUAUCUCCAUUCAAAUGUUUAAAUAUCACUUUCACUGUUCGAUAUGAUCAAAUGAUUUAUCUACGUUGAAUAAAACAAAGCAAUGAUUAGCAUCUGUAUGUUUUGCAGUUCUGACGGAAUCUAUAAUAGAAGCUUCAACGGAAGUGAUACGUUGAAUCUAUUUGAAACAUUUGAUACUUUCUAAAAGGAACAAAAUAUAAGAACGAUUUCUAUCUGUUUAAAAUUGUCAGUGGUUUGAAAAAUUUGCUAUCGUCAAUUUAUUAUUUUAUUUAUUGCCAAGUUACGGUAUAUUAUCCCCUAAAAUUAAUGUUUAUGUCAAGAGGGAUUGUUUUAGAUAUCCCGUGCUGUUAUUAGAAUUCGCAAGAGGAGGAAGAAUGCCAGAGGAAGUAGUCUAUGAACUUACGUUACGUACAUGCUUCCGUUAUUAGUUGUAAAUAACGGGUGAAAGCGCACACGUGUACACGUUUAAUUAUUGUAGGACAAAAAGCAAUUCUGGGGAGCAAUUGGCGAAGGAGGAUAAUCAAUAAAGUAUUGUUGCGUCUUGACGGUCCCGUAAUGGCGGUUAUUAAGUUACGGAUGAGAAGUAGCAGCUUCCGAUGUCGAAGAUACACGUAAAGUAUUAUAGAAAAGUGAGAAACGUUGUAGACGAGAAAUUAUACAGUAGAAUGAAAUAAUUAUAAUUAUGUUUGAAAGGCAAGGAAAGAUAAAAAUUAAUAAUAGUACUUAUACUAUAUGCAUAUAUUAGUAAUAGUCCUAUAACAGUUUGUAACAAUUCUAUGUAAAAAUAUCGUUGUAGUAUAGUCGUUGUAGUAAAUAUCUACAAGAAGGAGAAAUUUAUGAUAAGCAUACUUACUUAUUUUUCGUGUAUAUUUUUUACGUAUAUUUAUAAUUUUCUUAACUUGUAAUUUAUGUAAAUUUCAUGAUGCAUCGAGAUAUUAUUACAAUUACACUACGAAUACGAGGACAGAAAAUUAUCUGGACAAUUACCCUGUAAGACAAGGGGAAAAUUAAGCAGGCGACACGACAGGCAAAAUUGUAUUGUUUAAGGUGCUGUGACUUCCAUUUUCCGGUUUCCUGCGAUGAUUUAAUUCAUAAGACGUCUGUAACAAUCGGAACCUGAUUCGACGGAAAU